GGUGCAUCAAAUCCUAAUUGGAUUAGGAUUAAAUUGAGUUUAACUUAAGUACCAAGAGAGAGUCCAAAAGAACUAUGACUCCUUCUCUAACUAAGUGACAUCUAUCCCAUCUAUUUGGGUCUAAUCAGUUCCUAACAUGAUUAGGAUUGGUUAGGAUUUAAAUUAAUUUAAAUCAGCCACUUAAAAGAAGAGUCCCAUGGGAUUGAAACUCCUCUCCAUGCGCAUAAGAAAGCCCCACGCCAACCAGAUUGGACGCCAUAUUUUUCCAUGCCCCCUCUCCCUUUUUAGCAUGUAGUAAUCUAUGAAAUCUCUCUUAUUUCCAUGUGAUAUGGGGUGCACAAAAUAAUGGGAUGUCGGCGGCAUAACAUUCCUAGAGUCCAAAGGAGUUUGGACUCUUAUCUCCUAUCCAAACUCAAUCUCCUCUCUAUGUUUAAACAAGGGACCUUAUGGGGUGUUGGAUAACCUGAUGUAAUUAGUUUAUGGAUGCCAAAAAUCAGAGGAGAUGCAUGAGAAAAAUAGAAGAAAAGGAGGGGAGUGCACGACAUGAAAGGAGGGGCGUGAGGUAUGGUUCUUAUCCCUUCUUUCUUACAACAACCAAAGGUUGGUUGUUAGGACAUCUCUCUCACUCUUUUAUCUAUGUUUGGACAUAGGUUUCUCCUCUUCUCUUUAUCCAAAAGUUGGACAAAAUUUUUACUAUUGGAUUUCGAUGGCAC
rnacentral:lncRNA from 1 species